CUUCACAUUCUGCAGGAAGAGAAGAGAAAAAAAAAUGAAAUGCCAACUGUGCCAAAAAAAUUAGAUGACACAAUAUAAAAUAUCACAGUAACUAAAACUUUAGAUUUAGAAAAAAACAGGUAAUACAGCUUAACGAUGGAACACCAUUUCUCGACGAACUCUUUUUCUUCACCAAAAUCAAAAUAAAUUUAGCGAAAAAUUUUAUCCGAAGAAACUAAAAUGUAACCAGCCCGGCAAUAUUGAAGCAGCGUAAACUAAUUAGAAUAACUAAAACUUCAAAUUUAAAAAAACAGGCGAUGCGGCUUCACGACAAAGCGCUGCUUUUCGAUAAAGUUUUUUGCUACACAAAAUCAAAAGAAAUUU
rnacentral:lncRNA from 1 species